rnacentral:lncRNA from 1 species
CCCUUAAACAAUCCCUCGUCAUUGCGACUCACAUGCAUCUAGUGAGAGGCAAAUAAUGUAGUGGAUUGGACUGCAUCUUAUGUAGCUAAUCACAAAAGAGAUUAUCUUAUGAGAUCACCACUCUUCUUCCUCUGCGGUGGAUAUUCAGUAUGUUGAUUCUCAUGCAUGUACUUAGAUAUAGCAUACCUGCCUCACCAAAAAAAUAAAAAAAAUAAUAAUAAUAAUAACAAUAACAGCCCAACAC